CGCACCUUGCGCUCCUUGGUAUUCCGAGGAGCAUGCCUGUUUGAGUGUCUUGAAAUCAUCAAGCCCCCGGAUUCGCGUCCGGAGGCUUGGACUUUGGGGGUUCUUUGCUGCCUUUUCGGCGGCUCCCCUUAAAUGCAUCGGUUGCGGCCCGUCCGGCUUCAGUCCUCGGCGUUGUAUUCACCUCGCCCCGCGUCUCGUCGGCAGCGCCCUUCCCCGACCGCCUCUGGAGCGGCGGUCAACACUCUAUUUUGAAAUCUGACCUCAAAUCAGGUAGGACUACCCGCUGAACUUAA
rnacentral:misc_RNA from 1 species